UUUAUUAAAAAAACGUCAAGUAUGAACUAUGUUAAAGAAAAAACGUCAAGUAUAGUCUUAAAAAAUAUGAAGUUUUCACGAAUUUUUUUUAAUUAUUUUAUGUUAGCUUUAUUUGACGUUUUUUUUUUUUUUUUUUUUGCGUCAAGUAUAAAGUAGAUUUUACUUGACAUUUUAUUCGAGUUAAAAGUAGUGAACAUUUACUUGACACAAAAAACAUGUCAGGUAUGGUUUUAAAAAAGAAAAUUUUUACGUUAACUUUUAUAUGACAUGGUUUUCGCGUCAAAUAUAGUGGAGAUUUAUUUGACAGUUUAUUCGCGUCAAAUAUAGUGGAGAUUUUACUUGACGUUUUUUUCGUGUCACGUAUAGUGGACAUUUACUUGACGCGAAAACAACGUCAAAUAUAGUUAACAUUUUUUAUUUAACACUUUUAAAAUGUCAAUUGCCAAAAUGUCAAAUAUAAAACGUUUAAAAAUAUGAAAAUAAAAAGUAUAAAAAUCAACUUAUUAAAAUAAUUUUUUAAAAUCAACUUAUUAAAAUAAUUUUUUUAAAAUCAACUUAUGAAAAUAAAUCUUUUGAAAUUUUCACUUAAAUAAUUUGAAAUCUCUCAUUAAAUUAAAUUUACUAAAAUCUCUCGUUAAAAUAAAUUUGUUGAAAAUUUUUCUUUAAAUAAAAUUAUUGAAAAUAUUUCCUUAAAUAGAUUUAUUAAGAUAUUUUAAUGAAAAACUCAUUAAAUAAAUUUAUUAAAAUAUUUUAAUAAAAUAUUAUUAAAUAAAUUUUUUGAAAUCUUUCACUAAAACAAACUUUUACAAAUCUUUGACUAAAAUAAAUUUGUUGAAAUCUUUACUUAAAUUAAAUUUAUUAAAAUCUUUCUUUUAAAUAAACCUAUUGAAAAUAUUUUAUUUAAAUAAAUUUAUUGAAACCAUUUCUUUAAAUAAAUUUAUUAAAACAUUUUAAUGAAAAGUUUAUUAAAUAAAUUUAUUAAAAUACUUUAAUAAAAAAAUUGUUAAAUAAAUUUUUUGAAACUUAUCACUAAAAUAAUUUUUUGAAUUCAUUAAAAUAAGUUUAUUGAAUCUUUCCUUUAAACAAUUUUAUUAAAAAUAUUUUAUUAAAAUAUUUUAUACAAAAUUUAUAAAUAAAUUUAUAUAUUUUAAUGAAAUCUUUCAUUAAGUAAAUUUAUCAAAGUAUUUUGAUGAAAUGCUUAUUUAAUAAAUAUUAAAAUAUUUUAAUGAAAACAUUAUUAAAUGUAUUUGUUAAAAACUUUAACGAAAAUAUUAUGAAAUAAAUUUAUUAAAAAAAUUAAUAAAAAUAAUUAAAUAAAUUUAUUGAAAUCUUUCAUUAAAAUAUUUUACCAAAACAGAUUUGUUGAACUGUUUCACUAAAUAAAUUUAUUUAAAUAUUUCAUCAAAGAAAUUCAUUAAAAUAUUUUAUUGAAAUGAUUAUUAAUGAAAUUUAUUGAAACAUUUUAAUAAAUUUUAAAUGGAUCAACUUUUUCCAUUGUUUAGUUUUUAGUUUGUAGUGUAGAUUAAUAAUAGAUCCAAUUUAUUGGUAUAUCUCCAUAAUUAUUUACUUUUACACAUCAUUUAUCACUACUCACAUAAAAAAAAUUACAAAUUUUGUGACAUGAUUAGACAAUUUGAUAGACAAAAAUAGGUGAUAUCCAGGAGAUGCAUAUCUAAAUAUUGUGUUGGUAAGUGAUAUAAUAUUAAGUUCUCGCACAUCAACUUGAUUUUAUGAAGUUUUGUUUAAUAAAAAAAUCAUUUUAUUAAAGUGAGCAUAUAUAACUCAAUUCAGUUAUUUACCAAAAAAAUUAAAAUCAAAAUAAUUUAGGGUUUCUUUUUUCUUUUUUUGUUUCUUUUUAUGGAAAGAUUGAAGAUCUUGGAAACCUAAAACAUAAUUUAAGAAAAUUGUUUAAUGAUAGCGAAAAUUAAGAAUAAAUUAAUAAAAACAAAUAAAUUGAAACAAAAACUCACAAACCGCUCUAUUUAAUUUUUUUUUAAAAUGAUAUAAUUAAAAAAAAUAUUAUCAAAAACUAAGAAAUAAAGAAAAAUAAUAAUAAUAACAAAUUGAAAACAAGGUACAAAUCCAUUGUUUUCUAAUUUUCACCCUUUCAACUUAUUUUCUAUUAUCAAUUCCUAAUUUCUCCUAUAAAAACCUUCUUUCCUAAUUCAAAAAAUAUUCAUCAUCUCAAAUCUUUAUAUUCUCAUGAUCAAUCCAUGGAUCUUCCUCAAAAGUUAACAAAAACUCAUGUAAUUUUCUUUCCUUUUUAAUGUUUCUUUCAUUUUUUUCUAUAGAAAUUUUCAUGUUGAUUAUUAAAAAUGAUUAGUGGGCUUUUUUUUCAACUUCCUCAAUAACACUUCUUUCCUUUUAUAUAGUGUUAAAAAAGGUAUCCAAUGAAAAGAAGAAAAAUUUAUUGCUUUUCAAGUUUUAACCUUAAAACAAUAUAUAUGGAAAAAAUUUAUAUUUAUAUAUUGUUAAAAAAGCUUGUUUUAUUUUAUAUUUAUAUAUGAAAAAAAAUAAUUUUUUGAAAAGUUUAUCAAAUAUAUUUAUUGAAAUAUUUUAAUUAAAUUUAUUAAAUUCAUUUAAUUAAAAAUAUCAAGUAAAUAUAUUAAAAUCUUUUAUUUCCCUAUUUUUAGUAAUCCCUCACGUCUCCACGAUGAAACCCUAUUCUCACGCUUCCACACAACACAGGCGAAUGACCACUUCUUCGAAUCGACGGACGACUUCCACACAACACAGAGUGGCAAACGGGGAAUGGCUUCCACACGACGAACGCUUCCACCCUGCGAACAGCUUCCACCCUGCGAACAGCUUCCACCCAGCGAACAGCUUCAACCCGUUGCGAACAGCUUCAACCCGUUGCGAACAGCUUCAACCCGACGAACGGCUUCCACGCAGCGAACAACUUCCAUAGUGAACGGCUUCCACGACUGCGAACAUCUUCCGCACGGCGAACUGCUUCCGCGUUCAAAGGUUUUUAUGCUCCUCAUUCUUAUUGUAUUUAACAUUUUUCAAUGAAUAAUGCUCCCUUGAAUUUGAUUUAUAUCUUGUAAUUAAGGAUGAUAUUGUAAACCCAAUGUGAGAAAAACACAAAGAGAAGAAAAUUGAGAAUGACUCUCGUAUAUUUAUAUUUAUUUGUGUUAUAUGUUUAUGUUGUUUAUGUUCAAAUUGGUAAACAAAUGGUAUAAUCUAAUUGACAAAUAGAGAAGACCAUCAUUUUUCUUUAUUGUUGUUUUUUUUACAAGAAUGAGUAAUGAAAAAUUAAGGGUGACUCUUGGAUGUUUUAGACCGUAAUUAAUUUGUUGUCGUUAUAGUUAUAAUUAUCAUAUUGAUUUGUUUAUAGUAAUGAGUAAUGAAUUGGUAUAUUUACUCUUGGUAAGAUUCAUACUUUUGAAUGCCAUUUUUUUUUAUAGUAAUGAGUAAUGAAUUGAUCUUGUGUGCAUCAUCAUAUCCCAAUUACACAUGCAUCUUGGAAGCUGGUGCCGACUGAGUUGAAAGAAAAAGUAUACAAUAUGAUUGAGGUAUGUAAUCAUCCUUCUCAUUUGGAAAUCAUGCAAAUACUACACACUUAUUGUAUAUUUUGAGUCAUACUAUCUUGUGGUUAUCCUGUAGCCUUGGUAGCCCCAUAGCCUUGGUCUUGUGGCUAUCCUGUAGCCUUGGUAGCCCCAUAGCCUUGGUCUUGUGGCUAUCCUGUAGCCUUGGUAGCCCCGUAGCAUUGGUAGCCAAUCAUGUAUAUAUUACACCGUUAUUGUAUAUUUUAAGUUGUAUUAUGUGUGGCUAUCUUGCUGUGGUAGCCAAUCAUGCAUAUAUUGGUAAAUGUAAAUAUAUUUAUAAAAUAAUUUUUAUUUUAAUCUAGCACAUAAUAUAAUAUAUAUGCAUUGUUAAUUGGUUGUGUUAUAGUGUUCUUUACAAGUAGGUACGGUUGAAUGUGGAUAUUAUGUCAUGAGAUACAUGCAAGAAAUUGUGACUUAGGACACAAAUAUUAUCACUGGUGCGGUAUGUUUUUAAACUAUUUACAUUGUAAAGUUAUAGAUAGUAUAUUAUGACUAACUCAAAUAUUUUACAAAGUGUAUUCUACUUUUUAUGUUUUAUAGAUUGAUACAAGAAGCCCAUACACACAGCUUGAAUUGGAUAGACGAGGGGAGUGGGCUGGAUUUUUAGCUCGGUACAUAUGAUAGACACACCUAGAUAUGAUCAUGUUAAUUUUGUAAAUGGCUAAGAUAUGGGAAUGCUCAUAACCUUUUUUGUGGAAACGUUUUGUUCAUAGCCAUUAUGAGGGCAAAAGAUAUAUGGGGAUAGGCUUCAAUUUUGAUUAUAUAAGACAACUAUUAUCAUUUAAUAUUUUGGAAUAGGACACAUAUAGGAAAUUUUAGUUGGCUAUAUUGGAUUGGAAUUGUGUAAUUGUUGAUGACAUUGUUGAGAAUAAUGAAAUUAUUGUUGGUUUACAUAUUAUACUAAACUUUUUGUCCUUUUUUUUGUUGUGUAAUUGUUCGUUGGAGAAUUUGUUUUGUUUAUGGAUAUGUCUUAUUGAAGUAAAUGUAUGUAAUGCAGGAAAUAAAAAAUGAAAAAAGAAAAAUUUAGUAUAUUUAAUAUAUUAAUAAAUGGUAUACAUGACAUUAAAUACAUGUCACAUAUACUAUCUUAUUUGAGUCAAAUAUACUAUUUUACUUGAUGGAUAUAUAGUGUCAACUAUAAAAUUUUACUUGACAUAUACAUAAUGUCAAAUAUACUAUCUCACUUGACAGGUAAAUAGAGUCAAAUAUAUAUCUUACUCGACUUGUAAAUAGUGUCAAGUAUACUAUCUCACUUGACAGGUAAAUAGAGUCAAGUAUAUAAUUUACUCGACGUGUAAAUAUUGUCAAGUAUACUAUCUUACUUGACACAAAAAUGAUGUCAAGCAAUAGAGUACUUGACGUUUUUUUAGUGUCAAGUAAUAGAACUAUACUUGACAGUCGAUUACUUGACGCUUUUUAAAACGUCAAGUAUAGAUUUACAUGACACUGUAUUAAUGUCAAGUAAUUCAAUUUUUGUAGUAGUGUUAGUACACAGCACCAGGGUUACUCUCCUCCUAACUCAGCUUCUUAGCUCUCUGGCUCACAACAUUAGUAUUUCACCAUCCUGGGUAUUGCACUCGCCUGCCUUCUGAGUCGGGCCACCUGCACUAAGGGACGAUUUGCUUAACAAUCGACCCCUUGGGAGUAAUAGAAACUUUCAUGGCCAACGCCCCAUGUAAGACUAUAGAGACAUUCUUUCUUCUUUCCUUAGCUUGGCUAUACAACCUUAGAACUUUACUUUGCAUGACUUUAACGUCUAACAACAUAUAUAGACUCAAUUUCAAUAUCUUUUGUUUUUGUUCUUCGAUGCCUCUCCUCCCCAGUGGUUCUCUCAUUUUGUCGUUUCACCCUCCAAACCUCCUCUGGUCAUUUUCUGAGAAAAUCUCACUCUUUUCUUCUCUUCCUGAUUUUACCUUUUCCUUUGAUUUUUAGCUCAAUUUAUAAUGACAUUCUCGUCCCAAAGAUCACUUCCAUGCUUUACACGUGUCUUCUUGCCAUUUUGCCCCGUCAUGUAGCCAAUCCCACACAUGACACAUGGUCAGAACAUUAGUGGUGAUUUAACUUCUCAUUGAGACGCACACCUCAUCUUCUUGGAAAGUCAAACUUCCUUGAAUAAUCUUACUAUCUUUAUCUCCUUGGAAAGCCGCAAACAUUUACUUCCCCUAGCAAUUGGUCAAGUCAUCUUGAAAAGACACUUCCUCGCCUUUUUUCUAGGCGUAGGCACCUUUUCUCAGGUUACUUUGCUAAAUGCCUAACUCUUACUAAAUAAGCCUCUUCUUGUCACUCAUCCUUAUCACAUUGCUUACUUCGGCUCGAUGGAACUUAGGUAGGCAUUUCUCUUUACAUCACAUUUUUUCCCUUUUUGUGCACUUCCUCGUGCAUGCACUACACUCUUAUCCAAAAUAUUUCUCCACAAUGAUUUUUCUCAAUCAAACUUCCUUUCUUUGGUCGUCGUCACACAUAUUCCUUUUAGUGGAAUACAUGUUCUGCAUUCAGAAAUCUCUUCUCUCAGCAUCCUUGAUGUAGAGUCUUUAUCACGUUGGCGGUACGUAAUCAGGGCCUCACACUUUACCUCCCACAAACUAGUGAUUAUAUAGUCCAAACAAACAAACCACUACACAAAAGAGAAUAUUUUGAUCAAACCCAUGAAAGAUGAGCAGGGAAGAGCACCACAUAUGCGCUUGCACGCACUGGUGUGUGGAUCGCAUGACAGAUGGGCCAAUAGGAAAACACCUAAGCUUCAUAGGCUGCUCAGAUGGACACUAAAUUUUAGGGUUUUGUAAAUCGAAAAACUCGACUUCCUUUUAGAAUGGGCAACAUAAGAAAAAUGGCAACAAACAACAAUGACCAACGACGAGGGCUGACAAAAGUUUAAACUCCUCACAAAACCUUUAGAUGAAAUAUGAGAUUUAUAUUUUUCUUAGUGCAACAGACUAGGGAUCAAAAGAAGUAUGUAUCUACCAUUGACAAUAUCAAUAUUUCAUUUAAUUAACUAAAAAGAAGUAUAUAUCUAAAGCGUCGACAUUGCUUCAUUUUUUUGAAAAAAAAUAUUUUAUUUUUAAAAGCAAUAUAAUUCUCUUAGGUUUUAGUUGUAGCUAAAUUUUCUGAUAAAAUACUUCCAAAUGAUCUAUAUAAAGCAAAAUAUUUAAAAAGAAUUAAAAUUUAAUUUAAAUAGUCAUAAGUAUCCUUACAAAAAUCUUAGAACAAAAUAACAUAUAUUUGCUAAGAGAGCAAAGCAUAUUAUUCAACAAACCUUUUAACAAAAAAAGACACUUAUGUUCAAUAGAGCAUACACUUUGACAAUAGAAAAAAUAUUUGAUUCUUGUUCGGUUGAAAAGUCACGAACACAACUCCAUGUAAAAAACAAACAAUAAAUCUAAAGUUUAACUUAUAUAUAUAUAUAACACAUCUGUAAAAAACCAUAAUAAAAAAUAAAAAACAAGACUUAAUUGUUUAUCCCACAUUUGUCCACAAGAACAAUCCAAGCAUCACUAGUUCAUAAUUCUUAAUUCAACAUUCAAAACAACAAUAAAAACACAAGGUUUUAACUCAUAUUUCAAUAACACAUGGAAAAGCACAAUAAUAAGACAAAAAUAAUUAACUCAUAUUCAAAAAAAUAGCCAACAAUAAAAAAAUCAUUAACUAACUUUUCUUUUAACACACAUCCAAUAGAAGAACAUUCGUAAACAUUAUUAACUCAAAACUCAAAAAUAUAAUAUAGGAACCACUCACGUUCAAAACAACUACACAUCUCACUUCAUGAUUAAAACUUAACCAAAACAAUUUUCAACUUAUAACAACAUUAAUAUAUCUGAUUUUUAUAUGUAACAAAAAAAAAUUCUCAAACCUAACUCUUAUGUAUCCUAUUUUUACAUAUAAAAAAAUGUAUUUUAAAACAUACCUAUUUUGACGUUCCCUCUUGGUGAGUUUAUGAUUGAGCUUACCAACGUGAAAAUGGUAUAGCGACGAUGAAGUAGGAGGCGAGCGAGGAGGAAUCUUGAGCAACAAUGAUAGAAAGCAAAAGAGAAAGGGCAUGCAAAGGAGAGGGUUGAUCGAAGGUGAUGAGAGGGACGCGACAGGUUGGAGAUGAAAAUUGUGUAGGGGUGGUUGAAGGGCUCGUAGCGACAAAAGACAAAAUAAUGAAUUUGGGGAUAGAUUUAGGGAUUUAAAAAUUGGGUCUUUUUCGACACCAUAAAACGGCAUCGGACAAAACUCAAUACCCCAACAUUUAUUUUUAAUGGUGUCGGGAUAGCCCUUUAACUUGAUGCCAAAUUAUUAUGGCGUCAGGAUAGUCCUCUAUAUGUUGACCCAUAGUUUUCGUGUUGGCAUUAGUGCCCUAUACCAACGUUUUUUAGGCGUCAGUAAUAUUGACGUCGACAAAACUCAGUUUCUUGUAGUGAAUGAUACAUCUUGUUGUUACAUAUUAUGAAAAGGAAAAUUUCAUCAUACGACAAAAAAAAUUAGAAAAAAAUAGCCCAUAUCACCUUUUUUUUGCAUAUUACAAAUAUGAGAAAUAUGAUAAGUAAUUAGAUAUAUCAGGUAGCUAUCAGAAUGCUAUCCACUUUUAAAUUUUCUACUUUUGCAAUUUAGAACAUGUAGUGACAUGGACCUUAUUAUCAUAAUUUGUUUUUGCUAUUUUUGUAAACGUCUCUUAUGAAAAAGUAAAAUAAAUUAUUCUACUUUUAAGUUGUUACUUUAGUCAAAGGCUAGCUUGUUAGCUAAGGGAACAGUGAGAAAAAUGAACACAAUAACUUUGAUAAUUUAGUUCGGUGAGUAUCACCUACUUCUAGAGAGUUUUUACGCAGAUGAAGAGAUUUUAUUAAGAUUCAAAUGUGUACAAUAUUGUAAGAUGCUAUAUAGCACUCAUAUGAAUGUUUCUUCUAGAUUGGUUGUAACAACCUAACUUUCUAAACUAAGCUGAUGUCAUUAAUUUAACCCAAAGACACUUCGUUUAAACACAAAAGAUUGUAAAAUCUACUUUUUUAAAAAUAGACAUCAAAGAAAGUUUAAUUCGAGCUCUAUUUCAAACAAAAAUAAAAGUUCAAAAGUAUUGUGUCUGCAAGGUACACUACCCCAAAGCUAAAGCUAACAAUUUCCCCUUAGUCCAUAUAAAUUCAUACAAGUCUAAACAAUCCAAUAUAGUAAACUCAAAAAUACAAUCCAACUUAUCCAAAAUAUUUUAAUUUAAUACAUAAGCAGUCAAAUUAAUCAUGCUAGUACAUAUUCAAUCAUCAAUGUAGCAAGUCAUCAAUACAUCCAAACUUGAGCAUAACUAAUCAAGAUAUGAAAAUUCACACUACGCACAAUUAGUCAAGUCGUCUCAUACGAUACAUCUCAACUUAAUUUGGAGUCCAGUGGUAGAAAUCUCUUACCUUAAGUUUAGCUACGUUACUUGGUCGAACUAAAAUCCAAACCAACUAACCUAAACAUAAUUAAACAGAAAAUCAAACACUUUCGCAAACAAUUUCAUUCAUUCACCCAAAUGUGACUUCCACAAAUUUACCCAAACAUAACUUCAUGAUUAAGAACAACAACCUCUUGGCACCUAAUGUUCACACGUGUUCACCUUUCGGGACACAAAUGGUGGAACUUAUCUCGCAAGGUGGAGUUUGUCCAAACUCCUCCUUACACACGUUAUCCUUAUCCUUGCUACUUGCCCUUUCGGGUAGUUGGCAAUAUAUGCUGGCCAAGCGAUGAACCUAGCUCAAGUACUAAUGCAACAAGAAUUAUAAGUUAAACUUCUUAUCCAUAGCUUAUCACAAACCUAACUACUAAUAACACAUUGACAAGUGAGAAGUCAAGAAAUGAUGGAUUGAAAAGGUAUAAACAUGUAAUAUAUAUAAAAAAAUGCAGGCAUUAGGCCAUUAUACAAUUGAACAACAUAUAUUACAAAGAAGUAUAAAAAUGGAGAGAAAAAAGAAUGGAAAAUAUUACAAGUUAGGAGACAACUGGAGUAUGGAUUCUUCUGUACUCAUAAGCCAAGCUCUCAUUUUUUUAAAUGAUUGGAGAAGAAGAAGAAAACUUUUACAGGCGGAAAGGCUAUUCCUUUCCUCCACUCUUUAGGGAUUGGUCGGUCUAUUCAAAUGUUUGGUCGUCUUAGCCAAUACAAACCUCCUUUUCUUUGGUGAACAAUGAGACUUUUUAUAGACAACUUUUGUCGGAAAAACUUAUGUUCUUUUGAACAUUUUAGCAUUGUACGUCGAAAGGUUUCUAUGGCAUGUCACGUCAUCUCCAACUACCAUUCUUGUCCUUUAGCAAAUUGCUUCUCGCAUUGUAAUUUGGUCUUCUCGCCUAUUCUUCUUGUGAGAGGCUCCGUGAUUUGCUAACUUCUUCUUUUGUUCAUAGACCUGUGUUUAGACACUGAAAAAUUAAAUAAAACAUGCAUAAUGCUUAUUUAAAGUAUAUUUCUGAAUACUUAUGAGUUUACAAUAUAAGUUAUGUUUUUUUAUCCACUUAUUAUGCGUUUUGACCUCGUUAUUCUAAUAAAAGGGACUCUAAUAACUUAGUAAUUCUACAAGUUAUCAACUACGAAGAAGAAGAAUGGAGAAGAAGAGAUGAGACAUGCGAAACGAGAAGGUGAGAAUGGUGAAGUUAUAAGCUAUAGUAGUUUCUUCAAAUUUGACUGAACAUGGUGGAGUUAUGAAUGUAGAGAAUUAGGGAUUCACCUACCAAAUCUAUAUGCUAAUAAAAAUAAAUUUUCAUUUCAUUUAACUCAUUUUUGUUUGUUAUUCGACUUAACCUAUGAAGUUUCCUUACUUUGUUAAGAUUAUGUGUGUUUGUGAAUAUGUUCAAAAAUUUGUCCUUUUGUUCCAUAAAUAUUUUUAAACAAUAAUAAUAAUAAUAGAAAAGAUAAUAAUAAUAAUAGAAAAGAUAAUAAUAAUAAUGUUGAGAUUUAGGAAAGUGUGAGAAUAAAUUUCCGACAACCUAAAAACAUUGUUUAUUGUAUUUAUAGAUUCUUUCCGGACUUAUUUGUAAAGUCUUACAAAAGUUACACUAAUACUUAUAUAUGUUAAUUAAUUUUUUUAAAAAUCAAAAUUAAAUUUAAAUCCUAUUUUCUUCUUAGUUUUGAAUAUUAUUCCUAUUUUGAAUCUUUUUAAACUCUAGAAAAGCUUUAUUAGCAAUUAUUAAAUAGUUUAAUUACCCAACAAAUUGCAGUUAUUUAAUAAUAUGAUUUAGUGACUUGUAUUUUUAGAUUAUUUGGUUGCUAAAUAAUUUAGUUAUCCAACAAAUUGUAAGGACCUUUUCAAUAAUUUAAACUCUUUGAAUAAUUUAAACUCUAAAGAAGUGUUUAAGGUCAAGAAUGAUUUAUAACAGUUUAAGUAUUAUAAUAGUUUGGGUGUUAUACAAACUUUAUCGUCUGUGUUUGGAGUUCAGACUAUUAUAGUUUGUGUUAUUAAAUGUUGUAUUUGAGGUGUAGAUUAUGAUAAUCUGUAUUAUUAUAUUAAUUAUGUUUGAAGUGGAGACGGUUAUAAUUUGGAUUUUUUACUACUCUUUUUUUUUCUACAUAUAUAUUUAAGAUGAAAUACAUAUUUUCCUUAAAUUGACUUUAUUAUAUUUUUUAAUUAAUAUAUUUAUUUAAUAAAUUUAGCCCCAAUCUUGAUUUUUUUACUGCUUUUUUCUUUUCUUUUCUUUUUUGCAAGCGCAUAUAUAUGGUACAUCAAAUAAAAAAAUUUCUUCAAAUGAUUUUAUUUAAUCUUGUUUAUUACGUUGUUUAUUUCGUAAAUUUAUCUUCAAUCUUCCUUUUUCACUACUUUUUUUUUUUUUUGCAUGCAUGCAUGUAUGCAUAUAUAUGGUACAUCAAAUAAAAAAAUUUCUUGAAACAAUUUUAUUUAAUCUUGUUGAUUGCGGUGUUUGUUUGAUAAAUUUAGUUUCAAUCUUGCUUUUUCACUACUCUUUUUUUUGCAUGCAUAUAUAUGAUACAUAAAAUAAAAAUUGAUGGAGGGGCUUCCACGUUGGUCAUCUUCUUUAAUUUAUGGCCAAGAUAUUUUCCUUAAAACAACUAAAAACUGUCUAAGUCUUAGUUAUUAGUUUCCAUUUUAGCUUUUAUUUUUAAACUCAGGGACAUUCAAGGCAACCUUAGCGUGAGAUCAUAUUACAUAAUAUUUAUGUUUUUUUAGCUUGAGACAACAUUGGUCCAGAAUCAUUGACAUAAUUGGUUAUGUUCUUUAACUCAUGGCCAUCUCAUGGCAACUUUAGUUUAGACGCAUCUCGAGGCAACUUUAGUCCAGGAUCAUUAACAUAAUUUCUUAUGUUCUUUAGCUUGGGGCCAUCUCGAGGCAACUUAAUUGACAUAAUUUCUUUUGUUUUUCAUCUCAGUGUAUCUCAAGGCCACGAUGGCCUGGAAAUAGCUAACCUAAAUGCUUUUAUUUUCAACUCGAGGACUGUCGUGACAAAUUUAAACUAAGAAGUGUUUAAUAAACUUCAAAUUUGGGGUACAAGUAGAAGCAACAAAGGAAAAGUCUGAGUGGCAAGGAAGAGAUCCUUGCAUGUUCACCGAGAAGCCUUUUCAAACAUGGUUGAACAUGCAAGGAAGGGUUUCAGCGGCAAGGGGUGAAAAUCCAGUCAUUCAACAAAACCAAAGAGGGAGAAGGAGAAGGGUUUCAGAGGCAAAGCGUUGAAACAAAGUCGUCAAUAAAACCAACGACAAACAACGAUUAAGGUUUCGGAGACAGAAUCUGGAAACCUAGCCUAUAACAAAAGACCAUUGACACAGAAGGAGAAGGGAACCAGAGGUUGGGGGUUGAAAACAGACCAUUCAACGAAACCAAUGACAGAGAUCUAAGAUUCAGAGAGGAAAACGAUAAAGAUAUGAGAUUCAAAGAGGAAAAUGGAAAGAAAAACGAUGAAAAAAGAUAAAGAACACGAGAAGGAGGGAGAAGUGAGAAGGAUUAUGCAAAGAAGGAGAAAGAUUACGCCCAAAACCAGGAAGGAUUGAGAAAGGGAGUGAUCAACUGAAUUAUGGGAAUGGUUGAGAGGAAAUAGGAAAAUGACUAUGGAAGAGUUGAGGAAAUAAGAGGAUUAUAUGGAAAGCCUAUAAUUUGGGCUCGAAGGAGCAUUCCUUGCAAAUUUAGGGUCCAAACACCCCGAAGACUCUGUUUGUUAACUAUUUCGUUUCUUUGAUUUUUUAUAAAAAAAAUUAAGUCCAUAAGUCAUGAGUAUUGUUCUUAUUAACCUCUACAAGUGAUCGGUUUACACACUUCUACCCUUAACUUUUCAUUAAAUAAGUACUUUAGGUCUUUUUCAUUUGCAUUAUUUAAUUUAAAAUAAUUAAAAUAGUUUCACUAGUUUUCUAUCACUCUUAAAUUGAAAUAGAAAAUCGUAAGAUGAUAACUACUUUAUUAACUUUUUAUUAAUACUAAUAACUGGUGUUAAUAAUUCCUAUAAAUCCCAUAAAUAGUUUCAAUAGUUCUUAUAUAUAUCUCUAAUGGGAUGGUAAUAUAAAAUAUUAAAACUAAAUUCAAAAUAUAACCCCUAAAAAUGGUUUUUUUUAAUUUAAAUUAUGCCUUAAAAUUGACCACCAACAACAAAACCCAAAAAGAUUUACUAACAAAAAAAUAAAAACUCAUGAAGUACGAUUGUAGUUUCACAAAUUCCAUAUUUAUUCUUAUUGGUUUUGAAUUUGAUGUUGAAUAUUUGCGCAUCUUCUUCGUAUUAUUACUUCUCUCACUCUUCAUCUUCUUCAUAUGUAUGUGACUUCUUCAUCCUCUCUUCCAGAAUUUAUUCAUUUUUCGUUGUAUCUCAUCUUUGGCGUCAUCUUUUUCAUAAAAACAAUAUUUUUUUCUUAUCAUUUUUUCAUUAUCAUGUAUUGUGUCCUUAUUCUUCUUUUUUCUUCUUCUUGUUUUGCUACACGAUCAUGUACCAAUAUCUAAAUGACAAAUUAUCUAUCUCAAAUAGAUAGAGAUAGACCGCUAUCACUAAUAAAUCAUUUAGAUUUUGAACAAGAUUAUUUAGAUUGGGUACAAGAUUGUUUAGACUGGGUACGAGGGGUACAAGAUCAUGUACUAAGAUCGUUUAGUUUGAGUACAAGGAUACGAGAUCGUUUAGGCUUGGUACAAGCGUACGAGAUUGUUUGGACUUGGUAAAAAAUCGUUUCACUCGUAUGUAUCUAAUUAAUUGAAAGGUAUUUUUGUUAUUUCAUGUUAUAAGCUUUUAAACUUUUUCCUUUUCAAAAUUAUUCUAUACGAUAUAAAUAUUUUUGUACUUUCUCGUGUUUUUAAAAAAAUUCCAUAAAACUGGAUGCAUAUAUGUAAAUUCUCAUUCACACAGUCCAACCCUCAAAGCUAUUAGAGUUGGUUUUUAUCAUUUAUUAUAUAUUUAGAAGGUUUAAUAAUUACGUAUUAAUUAAGGGCAUUCAAAUUCAUUAAAUACAUGGACUCCACUUGUCCAUUUUCUUGACUUUAUGAUAUACUAAUACGUGGUCAUUUGUCACACAUACUCUUACCAAACAAACAUAAUAAAAUUAAUGUAUCCAAACUUUUUUUUUUUUUUGCCAUUAUUUAUUUAUUAUUUUGUUAAAAUUUUAUUUUGGUUUCUAAUCUUUUUCUCUUAUUCUAUUUUGAUCCUUCAAUUUUUAAAAGUAUCUAUUUUGGUCUUCCAAACUUUUGAGAAAAACUCAUUUUCAUCUUUGCCAUUAGAAUUCGGCUAACUUUUUAACUAAAUGAUGAUGUGACUUUUUUAUUUGAUGAUUAGCCUCUCGAUUCAAUGUAUUAAUUAAAUUCAUAAAUAAUUAAGAAAUCUUACUAAUUUAUUCUUUAAAUCUUUUGUGCAACCAUAAAAAUAUAAUUAACACACUUGAAUUAAAUAAACUCAAACUAAUUAUGUUCUUUUUCUCCAACACUUAAAUCUCUCAUAUCUUCUCCCGGCUCCCCACCAUUUAUUUUUUUUUUUUUAAAUUGAAAUCUUGAAGCAAUUAGAAAAACGACAUUACGUAGAUUAAAAAAAUAAAAUAGAAUCGACGUCUUGGUGUUUAACAUCUAUGACGAGGUAAAAUAAACUCUACAAAAUUGUAACAAUUUUUUCCACAAUGAAUCAUAACCCAAAAAAAAAAAAAAUGGGAAGAAGAGGAAAAAAAGCACAUCAACCUCUUCGAAGGAGUUCAUUUCAAGCACUUGAAACAAAUGAUGUUAUUUUUGGUAACCUUGAAAAAAGUAGUUGUCGCUUGCACUACUGAAGAAUCAACAAUUCCAACCAAAAAUCCAACUGAGGAGGAGAUUUGGAUUCGUGAUGAAUGGACAGAGUCAGAUUUCAUAUGUAAGAAUUUAAUUUUGAAUGAACUUAUUGAUGAGCUUUAUGACCACUACAGUACCAUGUCCACCGCGAAAGAAAUUUGGAAUGUAUUGCAAAAGAAGUACUAACACCAAAGAGGCAGGGUGCAAGAAGUAUGCAAUAAGUUGAUAUUUGUGAUAACAAAUUACUAACCAUAGAUUUGUGGAGGCGUAAUCACAUAAGUUGCAAAAAAUUGCUCCUGGAAUAAUUAAUGAAGGUGUGCCACUUAAUUAGCAGUUUCAAGUUGUUAUUAUUGACAAGUGACCUUCAAUAUGGAAGGAUUUUAAGAAUACUCUAAGGCAUAAGGCGAAGGAAUUCUCACUAGAGUGUCUGAUCACCCAGUUGAGGAUUUAGAAAGAAACUUGUAAGCGUUACCAAAAGUAGGAAGUGGAUGUUAUCCCCAGGAAGAAGCCCACUGUUGUUCUGAAACUAGACCUAAAACCAAAAGGAAACAAAAUGAAGGUUAAGAACUAAGGUCCCAACAACAAGAAGAAUUCUCAUAAACUCCAUUCCAAAAGUACGGUACAUAUUGUGUGUUAUAAUUGUAAUAAACUAAAAAUUUAGCUAGAAACUGUAGAAACGGGAAUCAUCUUGUUGCGCAAGCGAGCCUAAUAGAAGAGGAUUUAGUAGUUAUAAUCACAAAGGUAAAUGUAAUCGGGGGAGUUUGAAAGUUGGUGGCUAGACACUUGUGCAUCAUGCCAUGUCUAUGAUGACCUUAUUUUGUUUAAAAAAUCUAAUGAAACUAAGGUCAAGAACAUUCUUACGGGGGAUCACCAUAGAAACAAAGUAACUGUCAUUGGGAAAAUGGAGUUGAAGUUCACAUCUGGCACACUCAUCUUGAAGAAAGUCCUGCACACUCCUGAAAUUCGAAAGAAUUUCAUCUCGAGUUGUCUCCUCAACAAAGCGAACUUCAGUCAAACAAUAGGAUCAUAUCUCUUUAUCUUUACUAAAAACAAUGUAUUUGUGGGGAAGGGAUAUGCAACUGAUGGCAUGUUUAAAUUGAACUUAGAAAUGAAUAAGAACUUGUUUUCUGCUUAUAUGUUGUCUUCUUUUAAUAUUUGGCAUGCUAGGCUUUGUUACGUAAAUAAAAUAUUAAUGAGCAAUAUGAGUGGGUUAAACAUGAUUUCUAAGUUAUCCUUACAUGAAUUUGAAAAAUGUGCAUGUUGUAGUCAAGCUAAGAUAAUUGAGACUUCACGUAAGUCUGUAACUAGAGAAACUGAGCCUCUAGAAUGAAUUGAUCUUGAUUCAUGUGAAUUUGAUGACAUGUUAACUAUAAAUAGUAAACAAUAUUUUAUAACCAUUAUAAAUGAUUGUUCUUAUUUUACUUUUAUUUACUUGCUUGAAAAUAAAAGUGAUGUUUUUGACAUGUUUAUGGUGUUUGUAACUAAAGUCGAAAAUUAGUUUAAUAAAAGGAUUAAGAGACUUUGUGAUGGUAGAAGAACUAAAUAUGAUUCUAUUGCUUUUAAUGAGUUUUAUAACUCAAAAUGAAUAAUACAUGAAAAACCUUCACAUUAUUCUCUUGAAAUGAAUGGAAAAGUUAAAAGAAAUAAUAGAACUCUAAUUGAAUUAGUAGUUGCUAUCUAGAUUCGGGAGUAGCACCAUCUUGGUAGGGUGAAUUAAUUAAGACAAUUAAACUAUGUCUUUAAUAGGAUUUCUAAAUCAAACAACACAACUUCACCUUACGAAGUCUUUAAGAAUAAAAUAUCAAAUUUGUCUUAUCUUAGAAAUUAGGAUUGCCUAGCCUAUAUUAGAAUUUUUGAUCCUAAGAGAAGAAAAGUUAAGAUUCUUGAUUCUAAGAGAGGAAAGUAAGACAGUAAAGCUUAUGAGUGUUUUUUUAUAGGAUAUGUCUGAAAUAGUAAACUCUAUAGGUUCUAUGACUUAGAAAAUAAUGUAAUCAUAGAAUCAAACGAUGCAGACUUCUUUGAAGAUAAAUUUUCUUAUAAAUCUAGAAAUAAUGGGGGCCUGAAUAGUCAAACUAGUGCGGACUCAAGUUCUAGUAGCUUACCUUUAGUUAGGAUCCAAACCCAAGAUAAGGAAGUAGAUCCUAAACCUUGAAGAAGAAAGAGAGUGAGAAACACAAAAGACUUUGGAGAAGACUUGGAAAUGAAUAAUGUAGAAGAAGAUCCUAAAGAUCCAACAAAAGCUUUAUCCACAGUAGAUGCCAACUUAUGGCAAGAAGCUAUCAAUGAUGAAAUGUAUUCUCUUGAAUUAAAUAGGACUUGACAUCUAGUUGAUCUACCUCCUAGCUACAAAGCAACAGGCUGUAAAUGGGUUUUAAAGAAGAAACUCAAACCUGAUGGGUCAGUAGAUAAGUAUAAGGCUAGACUGGUAGCAAAAGAUUUUACACUUUCUCCCCAGAUACUAGAAUCACCUCAAUUAGAGUGUUUAUUUCUAUAGUUGUCCUGAACAAUCUCUUAGUACAUUAGAUUGAUGUUAAGACUGCAUUCCUAAACGGUGACUUAGAAUGAGAGAUAUAUAUUGAAAAACUUGAAGGUUUCAUAGUUCAUGGUCAAGAAUCUAAAUUCUGUUAGCUAAAUAUGACCUAAACCAAGCUUCUAAGUAAUGAUAUAAAAAGUUUGAUAAUCUAAUCAUGUUAAAGGGUUUGAAGUAAAUGAAAGUGACAAAUGCAUCUACUAUGAGUCUGAGAAUGACUUAUGCACUAUCGUAUACUUAUAUGUAGAUGACAUGUUGAUCUUUGGAUCAAAUUUACAGGUCAUAAAUGACAUAAAAUCAAUGUAGGGUGCAAAUUUUGACAUGAAAGAAUUAGAGGAAGCUAAUGUAAUCCUAGGUAUCAAAAUCACCAGGACUAAAAAGGAAAUUUAUUUCGAUCAAUCCUAUUACAUAGAAAAGAUUCUAAAGAAAUACAAUUACCUUGAUAGUAAACCAAUAUGUACAUCCUACAAUCCUAGUGUUAAGUUAUUCAAGAACAUUGAUGAUAAUGUUAACCGAUCUGAGUAUGCGAGCAUCAUAGGCAGUUUGAGAUAUGUUGAUGAUUGCAUUACGCUAGAUAUAGCUUAUACUGUAGGGUUACUAUGUAGGUUUACUAGCAGAUCUAACUUAGAACAUUGGAUUGUUGUAGAAAACAUAAUGAGAUACCUUUAAGAAAACCUAGAACCUAGGAUUACAUUACUAAAGGUUUCCCACUAUCUUAGAAGGUUAUAACGAUGUUGAUUGAAACUUCCUCUCAAAUGACUCAAAGGUUACAAGUGACUAUAUUUUUAAUAUAGCAGGACAGUCUGUUGCUUAGAAAUCCAAGAAACACAUUAUUUUAGUCGAGUCAACGAUGAAGUAAAAAAAUUAUAGCACUAGCUACUGCUAGUAAAAAGCAAGUUUUGCUAUUAGAGAUUCCCACAUGAGAAAAACUGGUACCAACUUACUGAUCCAUUGCGAUAAUACUAUAACUAUCUCAAAAGUUUAGAACCGUUAUUACAAUGGCAAGUCAUGACAAAUACAUCGUAAACACAAUACAAUUAGAGAAUUUAUCACUACUUGUGCAGUAAUAGUAGAUCACGCAUGAACUGAUUAUAACUUGGCUGAUCUUUUGACAAAAGGUGAGCCACAAUCCUUUCAUCAAAAGUAAUAGCUAGAAAGAAGGUUUUCAAAACCUUAGAAAAAGAAGACUCAACCCUAUAGAUAACUGAAUCACCUGUGAGGUAAACUCAACUUGAAAGACUCGAGAUCUCAAUAAACAAGUUCAUUGGAUAAUAACUUAUCACAAUUGAAUGAAGAGAAUCGUGUUAAAACACCUAGGAGUUUCAUUCUUAUGACACAAUGAUUAGCAUGACAUCCUGAAGCGAUGAAAAGGCUGAACUUAGUUCUUAAUGACUUCUAUACUUGAUGUCAAGUAAGGUAUCUAGCUACAUAAGUACUCUUGAUAGAUUCAUUUUUGUGGAUGUGGAAGUGAGGACCACUUCCUAUAGAAUUUUAGGCAAAUUCUCUAGAGCAUCCACUAAACUAUAAUAUACAUGCAAGGCCUUAAAGCACGACCAUUUAGAACUUCACUUAAAUAAUAUUGUGUGUGCAAUGUUGUUAGAGGUAAAGUUCAAAAUCAAUGGUUACUUUAUAAUAUUCUAAAUUAUUGUCACUAUGGAAGACGUUUUGUUAAUGUGAUUUUGUUUUGCAUGUUUUUCUACUACGACGCUUAGUUCCAUCGAAGUGCAACAACAAUGUUCAACAUCUUCGACAACAAGUAACACCUUUAACCAUAACAUCUUUGCUCUUUUUCAUUUCAAAAAACAAACAUGAGUCUCAUAUUCCUUCUUUGUACCGCAACAUACACAUUUAUUGUCAUCGCAAACUCUCAUUUUUACAAAAUUUAUUUGGUUGGAAGAAUGCGAUUGAAAGCUUUCUAGAGGAUUUCAAAAAAUGAGUAGAUUAGAAUUUCAAACACAAUUCUACCAUUUCAAAAAUUGAGUAGGGUCUGAUUGAGAGGCAUCCACCUUGUGAAGUAUACACAGCUUAUGGACAUUUUCAAUAGUAAAUUUGUCAUUACAAAAGUAUCUUAAAUCCAUGUAGUCAGAAUGAUAUAUAGGUUACUGAACGUUAAGACAAUGAAUCAUACAAAUCUUUUAAAACUAAACUUCGUCUUAUUUAACAAAAGUCAUAUAGAUGUGUCCAAAUGUGAAUAAAAAAUUGGAAGAAAAACUAAUGAUUGAGAUAAGCAAAUAAAACAAAAUUUUAUAAUUUGAUGUAAAUAACAAAAGGAUGUGGUUUUGGAAUAAAACCAAUGAAAAAGUUAAUAUUAUUUUAGUGCAGUUAUAUUAUAUAAUAUAUGUGGACAUUUGAUAGAGUGAUGUACUCGAAUCUUUUGAAUUUAUCAAUAAGAUUAAGGAAAGUUAUAUUUUUAAUCUUUUUAUUUUGAAAUAUAUGUUUGUUUUAGUUUAUCCUAUCUAUUUUCUUUCUAUAUGAACAAUUGCAAGAAUGACAAAUAUAUAUUAAUUUACAAAUAGAAUAAAACAAUAUUGAAUCUAUUUUAUAUCAGCUAUACAUUAGUAGUAUAUUUUAUUAUUCAAUUUCUUUCAUUUCUUUGUAAAUCAUUUAUAUAUAUUUGUAGUAUAUAUCUUAUAUAUUUUAUAUUUGAUAUAUUAGGUAACUUACAUAUUCUAUAUGUGGUCAAAUAUAUUUUACAUUUACGAGGCAAAUAAGUUCUGUUUGAAUAUUUAUUAAUUUAUUUCAGAGUACUAACUUCUAGUAAAACUUCAUCUCUUUACAAUGCUUUUAUUUAUUUAUUGUGUGGUUGAUAACCAAUAAUGUAUGCAUUGAUAAACUAUUGAUACACCAAUGUUAUAUUUAAAAUUAAUUAAUUUUGGAUGAAUGGUUAUUUGAAACUGAUAUAUUAUAAUAAUUUAGAAUGAAUGCAAUUUUGAUAUCUAAUUAUUUUUUAUGAGAAAAUUGAUAAAUUGUUGAUACAUCCAAGUUAAAUUUGAAAAUGAAUUUAAAAUAAGUGACUGAGAGCAACUAAAAUCAUGGAUCAUUUUUUGAAAAGCAAAACCAUGAAAUAUUAAUUGCAUAAAUGACAUAUUUUGUGUAAAAUAUAUGAAUUAUUGAUAUAAAGCCAUACAAAAGUAUCAAUUGAUUGAUAUACUAAAUAUAAAGUACAUGAGAUACAUCUGCUAAUAUUCUUCAUUUUUCUUUACUCGACAAAAGGAUAUUUAAAAUUGUUUUUUUAAAAAAAAUCACAUGACAAUUUUUUAUUAAAUAACAACUGGACUAUGCAUAGAACUUGUUUGGAACAACUUAAAAUAAUGUUUUUCAAAAAUGCAUUUCCAUUUAUACACUUCUCUAUAGAGCUUUUUUUUUUUUUACUCGGAAAGCUAGAUUUUCAGAUAAAAUGGAAAUGAGAGAUUCAUAAUGCUAAACGACUAAUCAAGGGAACCACUAGGCGAGACGAGAAAUCUAAAAGUAGAGAAGAAAAGAGUUGAGGCUAAGUAUAUGUGUGAGUUACAUAACAAGAUUUGACAUGAUUUCUGAGUUGUUAUUUACUUUUAAUUAUUUUUUGGGGUUGUUUACAAAUUAUGCAUAAAUAUUGAGAAUGAUUCGUCCUAAACCCAAACGAGUAUACUUUUGAUGAAUGUUUAUUUCUGAGUAUUCCUUAUAGAUAGAAUAUAUGUGAAUCUUUUGUAAGACCUAAACAUAAAUUAAAAGUUAACAGGCAAAAUUUUGACUAAGUAUGUAACUUGGUGUUUUGGACAAGAAAGCGUUUUAGUUUCAGUACGUGUCAAGAGCUUAAGGUAAGACAGUCCACGAGAAGGAUUUGCAAUAAGACCUAUAUGUCUAAAACGCUCGCAAGAGAAAAAGUCUUCGUGAGAAAAGUUGGUAGUUUGUGAGAGAAGUUAUGCAAUAAGACCUUGGGAAGUUGUUAAGUGGUUGAAGUUAUUCGCAUAAUGGUAUUAGGCGAGAAGAAAGGUUUGGCGAGAAGAUGUCAAAUCUGAUUUGACAAGGGUUAAUGUGUAAGAUUAAGGUUUUAAUCAUGGCUAAAAUAAAUAAAAAAUUUACAAGUGUAAGGUUGAAGUAAGAGCUAGCAAUCAGAUAAAGAACUAAAGAUGACUAAUCUAUAUUAAAAGAGUAGUAUAAGGAGGGGAUUUGGGUAACUAAGUAGGAGAUGAUGGGAGCUUUGUUGAAAUGCUAAAGUGCUGCCACUUGGUUUCCACGAGAAAAACUUUGUGAGAAGAGGAAAGUUAAAGAGUGAGUGCUUUUCUUUCAAAGUUUUGUGAGUGUUUUCAAAUAUUUCCUUAUAAAUCUCUAUUGAUUUGAGUUAAUGAUUUCUAAAAGAGAUUUCUAUGAAAAUUGUUAUGAUGUUCAAAGUAUAAUUUGAUCUUAUUGUUUGUGAUAUAGUUUGCAAACCAUUAGUUACUUCCUUUGAAUAAGCUAACUUUUAUGUGCACAUAAAGAGUUAAAGGCCACCAUGAGUGUACGGGACUACGUGGUGAUGAAGCUGACUUAUGCGUUGAAAGGAACGUAUAAUGCUUAGCGGCCUGAGCAACAACGACAAAUCAAGAUACUCUCGGAUGCUGAUGAUUCAGUAGUCUAAACAUGAAGUUACCUGACCUAGCGUUGAGAGUGAUUCAGGAUCCUUGUCGAAAUGAAAUGAUUGUGAAAUGAUCUGUUAAGCAUAAAGAAAGGUUUGUGCGAAAUGAAAUGAUUUGUUGGUGUGUUUAAAUGAUCUGAUAUUAUUUUUGCGAAAUGAUUAUGAAAAUGUAUUGUGAAAGGUUUUCAUAAAACCUCAAUGAGUCUUUCGACUGACGUUUUCAAAAUCUAUAUUCUAGGAUCAGGCGUUUAGGCCAAGUAGAGAAGAAGGUUGAAGGAUUUGCAGCGAUAUGAGAAAGUUACUAGGUGUGGGGUAUAAAAAUAUGGGUUGAACUCGAAUAACUCAGACUACUCAACCCAUAUUAUAAGGGUUGGGUUGGGUUAAGUUAAAAUGUGGUUUGUGUUGGCUUAAAAAAAAUUAGUUUUUUAGGUUAGGUUGGGUCUCGGUUGGAGGGAUAAAAAACUCGGUUCAACCCAACCCAACCUAAAUUAAUAUAAUAUAUAUAUAUAUAUAUAUAUAUAUAUAUAUAUAUAUAUAUAUUAUUUAAAUAAUAAAAAAAGAAAUUAUGUUUCUUUCUCCCUCAAUGCUCUCCCUCGCGCGUCGCAACAUCUUCAGCGUUUCCUCCAUCUCAGCUCCAUCUAUCUCCUCUGACAUCUCAUAUCUAACCUAAGACUCAUCCGUCUGUCUCCUCCGACAUCUCAGAUCCAACCCGAGACUCGUCCAUCUAUCUCCUUCGCAGGCUGAUCUCAGAUCUCAAUCCCUUUGUCUCCUUCAGUCUCAGAUCUCCUUUGUCUCCUCUGACAUCUCCUUCGUCUUUGAAUCUUCUUCGUCUCUGAUCUUCGCCAGAUCUCAGAUCUCUCAAAUCAUUAUAAACUAGAAAUUAAACUAAAAACUAGAAACAAAAGAAAACUAUUAGAAAAUCUCAUAUCAUUAUCCCUAAGAUUUUGAACUUUUACAAACAUUAGAAACUAAAAACAAAAAUACUCUAUACAACCUGACAACUCAACCCAACCCAACCCAUAUUUUACGGGUUGGGUUGGAAAUUAAAUUUUGGUUAUUCGGUUUGCCAACCCAAAUAACCCAAAAAUAUGGGUUGGAUUGAGAAUGUCUCUCUACCCAAUUUGAUUACACCCCUAACUAGGCGUUUAAGAGCUUAUUUAAUGUAACUUUAGGUCAAAGUGUUGUAAGUUAUGUUCAUCCAAACACAUGUUAUUAACAAAGUGUAAGUUUUAGUUGAAUUGAUCGCGUUAAGUUUUUUGCAUUAAGAAUGUCUUUGAAUGUGUUUGGCAUUCGGUACAACUUUUGUUGUGUUAUGUUUUCUCUUGGUAGUUUAAAAGGAAUUGAGGUUGAAUUAGUCGAUAAGAAAAUUUCAAAGUUGUAACUAAAUCGCAUCAUAUUCCUAUUACUUCGGCCUUUUGGCCAUAUUGUGGUUUAGGGUGUGACAUCUUUCAUCAAAAGAGGAAAGGUUUGUGGAUGACUUACAUAAAUGGUUAAUGUGGUGUUUGUAAACUUGAUGCGUGAAAAAGGUAUUCGGUCGAAUGAUUAUCUAAAAGUAUUUCUUCUUCAAUGCUUAAUAUAUAAUAUUGUUACUAGUGCGGUAUUAUGUAAGAAAAAUAAGAUGGAAAGACUAGCCUUUUUAUUUACCGUUCAUAAUGGUUGCAAAUCAAGAGAAGAUAAGACGUAUUGUUUGACGUUGGUUGAGUAUGAAUGGACUUGCUGUGAAAUGAUUCUAAUAAGGGGAGAUUUCCAAGUCUUAGAAUGGACUUGUUGUGAAAUGAUUCUAAUGAGGGGAGAUUUCCAAGUCUCAGAAUGACUUACUGUGAAACGAUUCCAACGUAUGGUGUUGUAGCGCUUGUUGAGAGAAAGAUGUUGAUGACACGCUGGUGGAGUGUAACUAUCAGGUCUAAGAAUGUGAAUAUGGCGAGACGUUGUUGGAUAUCUCAAGUAACUCGCGUGAUCUUGGCAAAAGUGAAUCCCGGGUCAGCAAUGGGAAAUUUUCUCAAGUCUCAAUAUGAGCUUGCGAUUGUGAUUGUUGUACUAGUUGGUAACUAGUUAUGUGGUUAUUGAUUGGUAGUGGUUAUGCAAUGUGUGCUAAUUGUUCGUUGUGAUGAACUUUAUGUAUUGUGGCUUAUUGUUUAUUAAUAUGUGGAUUCCUUGUGAUUUUCCAAAAGGUUUUUCUUAAAACUCGUUGCUCACUAAUUUUGUUUGACUUAAGUUUUAAGUGUUUCCUCUCCCUAGGUUAUCAGACGUUGAGACCAUGCAAAGGCUAGUUUUGAGGCGAUGUAGCCUAGUUAAGGAAGGCAAAGUUAGUCUGUAGUCGUAUGUGGGUGUGCUAGCGACAUCUUUGUCAUAAUACAUUCAAGGAGCUGGUUGGUAAGGUUGUCGCUCCUUAACGCCCAAACCUCAGCUAAGUAGGGAACAGAGACAUGAGAAUUCAGAAAAGCUAAGACAGAGAAAGGAAGCCCUAAAUAUUGUGUCUUCUAACUUGAGGCUGUUAGGUGAGCGAGAUAAUGAAGAGAAAGAGAAGCUUCACACUUCUAAGCACCCACCUCAAGGAAUCAAUUGAAGCGACAAAGAAGAGAAAGGACAACAAUUAAAGUGGGUAUACUGAGUAUCAAUGAUGAAGGAAGGAAAGUGUGAUGCACCUUGGUGGGAAGAAGAAGGAUGUGAGAAUAUCAAAGUUAGUUUAUUUUUCAUAAAGAAAAGAUGUAACUUGUAAAUUUGUACUUCAGUAAGCAUUAAACUAAUAAAGAGGAGUUUUAAAUUAUUUCCGCUAUAUAAGUUCUUGAGUUGUUUCCGUUGCAAAAAGUUGUAAAGGUCUCUAAAGCUCAAGUGAAAGAGCUUCAUGAAGAGACGAAAAGAAAAGUUGUUAUGCUCACUAGGCGUUUAACGCGUCUCGUCGAAAGUAUGUGUUGAAUGUCUAGGCGGCACACCCUCCAUUUGAUCGUGCGGUGUGACAUUUGGAGUGGGAUGUGACACUGAUCACGAAAGUAGUUAUUGAAAGUUUAUCAACAAACAACAUUGAAAAAUAACAAUCAAAAGUUGUCGGAGGUUGGCCAACAAAAAUUGCAAGAACAAUGAUACAUGAAAGUUGACCAUUAGCAGUUGACAAAAAAUCUACUUUUAAAAUGUUCUUUAAAAGUUAACUAAUGAUGGUUGUCGAAAAGAAAUGUUUUAAGAUCAACUGAUAGCAGUUGUUGGUAGACGAAAGUUGUUCACCAAAGGUUGACAAAAAACAAUAGCGAAAAAAAUUGUGACAAGAGGUUUGCCAACUACAAUUAAUGGUGGUCGAUAGUUGUCUUGCGACAGUCACUCGAAAAUGACCAUUUGAAGUUUGGCCAGCUAAAAGCCUAAAAUUGUCAAAAAGUAAUCGUUAGUGGUUAGCCGAAAGUGAUUGUGAAGAAACGAUAGACGAAAAUUGGUUUUCAACGAUCGCAUAAAAGCAAUGGUCAGAGGUUCAAAGACGAUAGUUGAAUGUUGGUUGGUGACAGUCAACGAAGAUGGUUGUCGAAGGGUUUGGUUAGUGAGGAUAACUGAAGAUGUUAGCUUGAGUGUUUCAUACAUAUCGGGAAGAUUAACCAUUAAACUCUCAAAUUUCAUUUUUCUAAAAUUAAUCUUAAGUAUCUCAAAUUGUAUUAUUUUAUAAAUUCAUUUUAGGUAGUUGUCAAAUACAUAACUUUUUUUCAAAACAACUUAUUAUUUUUAAUUUAAUCACUUGAAAAUGCAAUUAAAAAUUACAAAAUUAUUUGACAAAAGAGUUUUUGAAAGCUUAUUCUUAUUUUGGGAGUUUAACUAAAAUAUUGAAAUGCUUUCUUUUCAAUUGAAUAUAUAUAUAUAUAUAAUCAAUCAAUCAAACAGUUGAGAGAAAAGAAAUGUUAUUAAAUAAGGUAAAAUGGAUACAAAGAGAUGAAGAGGAAUCUAUCAACUCUGAUUUUACUUUUGAUUGAAAUUGAGAAUAGUACUAAAGUUGAAAUUUAUUUGUUGGUAUUAACUAAAUUUAAUAAUUGACACUACUUUCUGGCUCCCACACUCACCUUCUACCACUAUCAUAUUUCCCUACCAAUAAAAUUAAGAAUGAACAACUCCAAAAAAUAAUAAUAAUAAAAUGUAUCAAAGAAUGUUUUUUCUUUUCUUUUUUGUAUAUAAUUAUAACAAUAUGUGUGCUGCUAAUACAACUUCAUUUCAUGUUGUGUUUGAGAGGGAAUGAUGGCCCUCAUGCUUGUAAAUGGUGGGGGCAAAAAGUUUUAGGGUAACUUCCAUUAUCCAAGUUCGAAGGGCAAAACAGCUAAACAAAUAAUACUAAUAAAAAGAGAGAGAGAGAGAGAGACAAACAAAUUUGAUUGAUUAAAUAAUGAAAUUAUUAUAUGGAGGACAUGAUAUGAAAAUCAAUAUUUAAUUUGAUAAUAGUUUAGAAUAGAAGUCUUCCAAUUUUAUGUAUUUAUAAUUUCUUAAUGAAUACGUUUAAUAUUCAUGAAGAUUGUCGUGUUCAUCACUUCACUCAUAUUAAAAUAGACAAUAUUUUAAAACAUGAGUGUUCAAUAUUUUCAAAUUUGAUAUUGAAUUGUUCAUCAUAUACAUAUGUAUAUGUCACAACCAUGUCCAUGUCCUCCAUGUCCUAAUUACAUUAUCCAAAGUACCAUUUUGAUUUAAAGCUGGCCCUCACCAACCAUACCAUUGUGAAAACAUCUAAUCUAAUCUUUCCUUGUGUUUACAUUACAAUGAGAUUUUAUUUUUCUCUGUUAAUAAAGAGAAUAUCUUUCCACUUGAGAUAUUUUAUGUAUAAAUUCUUUAUCGGUGUUCAUAAUAUAGUUGGAUUGAAUUGAACUGAGACACACAUAAUACCCCAUAACCAUAAAAUAUUUAUUAAACAAUGAAUAUUCCAAGGAUGAUAGUUUAUGUUGACCCAAUACCAAGAUGUUAGAGACAUAAUGCAAAUGGUAAACUCUAAAAUGUAUUCUCCCAAGCAAUGAAUCAUAGAAGAUAUGUCUAUUAUUUAUAUUUGGAUGUUUAUUUUGUAUAUUUCGUGAAUUUUUUUAUAGUAUAAUGGAAAAUAGCGAUUCACCCCUUAUAUCGAUAUUAAAUACAUAGAAACGUAGAAAUAUCAGUUGAAAUAAUCAACAUGUCGAUGGAAAUUUAAUACUACAAAGGAGACACUCGUAUAAAACAAAACAUCCACCUUAUUUAGCUACUUUGUUUAAAAAAUUCUCAUUUUUUACCCUAUUUUUUUUUCAAAAGCUUACUACUUAACCAAUUAUAUAACCCUAAAUCUAAUCAAAUAUAUAUAUAUAUAUAUAUAUAUAUAUAUAUAUAGUUUGAACUUGUUUAAGUUGUUGGGAUCAUUUAUUUGAAAAUUUGAUUCUAGAAAAAGUUAAAUAAUUGUGUAAAUAUAUAUGGAAUUCGAUUUUAAGUCUAUUUUAAGAGUUGUGUGGUAAAAUAAGGCAUCCAUAUAGAAGCUUGAAAAAAUAAUUUUGAAAUUUAAUAUUAAAUUUGGGUUAUAUACCCUAAACUAGUUUUUUAGAUGAGUUUGAAACCAACCCAAGCUUAUAAAUUUUACACAUCGGGUGGAUUGAUCAACCUCUUCAAUUUUUUUUGUUGUGUUCUUUUAACCCAUCUCUUUAAACUAACUUUAUCCAUCUAAAACAAUAGUACUUAUCAAUUUAAGUAAAUAAAAAGUUACGCUAAAAUUUGGAUUUGGAAGACAUACGGAUCAACUUUUUCACAUGUUAUUAUAUUAUUAUUCAAAAUGUGAGUUUUAUUACAUUACUUUUUCUCCUUUUUUUUUGUCAGUGAAGCUGUUUCAAUUUAAUUUCUAUUUAGUCCUAAAAUUUCAUAAUAGUAAACAUAUAUAUAGAUAUUUCAUAUAUACUUAGAACAGUAUCCACCUUUGCUUAAGGUUUUCAGAUUGGGUAAUUAGUAUGAAUUCUUAUGAAUUUUAUUUAGAGUAAUGUCUCCGGCAUACUUUAUUAGCUGCUUUGGUUCACUAGACAAAACUUCACUUUGGCAUGUGUCUUUCACUUAUUAAUUAAUGUCACUUCGAGUGACAUGGGUGUGUACCACUUUCAGCAUCCUCUUGCAAUAAUAAAAUUUUGUGAAUGUAUCUAACAACAUACUAAAUUAAAUACUUAAUACUUUCUUAGUACACUUUUGGUUGUCUUUUUCUUCAUUUACAUACAGAUUUUAUUGGGUAUUAUCAUCCAUCUAUUAUACAUAUAAAAUUCAAAGCUUUAAAACAUAUUUGUUACACCUUUAAAGUUAACAUAAAACCUAUUAUAUACAGACAUAAACUUUUAAUUUUAAUUUUAACCAUCAUAAAAGUCAUAGCAAUAGUAAUAAUAAUAAUUUUAAAAUUAAUUUAGAAAUUGCAAACCAACGUUUAAAGUUUGUAAUAAAAUUGUCAACUUUGAAUUUUUUUAGUCUUAAUUGAUUUUUGUACCUAAAGGAAGCUUAUAAGACACUCGUAACAGAAUCUAGAGGAAGCUUAGAAAGAGGUCUACGAAUGAUCUCUUCAAGAUCCAGGAAGGUGUUUAGAGAAUUUUGAGAAGAGGAUAGAGUAGUUGAUUUUGAAAUCUUCUAAAUUAUGGAUGGAUGUUUUGAAGAAUCAUUAAGGAAUUAAGAGGGUGAUGCAGCUAAAAACACCGAUUGUUAUCUCAGGUGGUGAUAGCGUAUAAACCCUCCAUAGUCCUGCAUAAAGAACAAAUAAGAUUGGUGAGAGGUAUGUGAAUUUUUUGAGUAUUUCUAUUGUGUCCAAAGUCACUCAUCAAAACCCUGAUACUAACUUGUGAAUAGGAGAGUGUGUUAUGUGUAUAGCAUGGAAUAAUUGUGGGAGCAUGGAAUCAGCGUCGGUGGAAAAAUAAGAGAAGGGUAAGAAUGAAUUAUAAAGUUAAAAAAGAAGAGUCGCCCUUUUUGCUUUUACAUAACAAUUUCCCCUAAAUAACGUAAUCUGAGGGUGUAAGAUGGGGAUGCUGGUGACCACGUGGAGAUUAAUUAGAUUUGGGGAUUACGUGGCAAAUGAUGACGUGGUAAUUGAGUGAGAGAGAGAGAGAGAGAGGAAAGAAGCCAAUCCGGUUGUCGGCCAAAAUGGUAGGCAACUAACAUGCCCUUAAACUAAUUCCCUUUGAAAACAAAAGUUAUGCAAUCAACCUCAUCUUCGGAUCUAUUUACACGUGCCUCAUUCUCACUCAAACUCUAUUCCCUCUUUUCACAUUUCCUUUAUUCUAUUCUCUUUCCUAUUUUUUCUUUUCUUAAAUUAUAUGUACUAUGAAACCCUAAACAUUAUGUUUCAUCAAUUUCUCUCUUUAUACCUCAAUAAAUUAGUUUAAAUGCUGUUUUCUAAGUUAUUCCUAUCUAUAACCAUAAUAACUCAAAUCUAACUUCCUAUUAUUUUUAAUUAAUUACGCACAUCAAAUAAAAUCUUUACUUUUAUUACUAAUUUACAACUUUUUUCAUUUCAUUUCAUUCAAAGUGAAUUAAAAUAUCACUUAAAUAAGUGCAUUUUCUUUUACUAAAAAACUAAGUAACAAAAAACAAAAUUAGUAUACAACCAAAGCGAGGGGAGAAAAAUAGAAGUAGAAGAGAACAUGAAAAACUACUCCCAUUGUUAAUAAUCAUAAUCUUUACAGACCAUAUUAAAAUUAUGUAUUCAUGGCUUUAAAAUUUAGUGUCUAAGUUUAUUUUCUCACUCAGAAAAGAAAAAAAAAAGAUUCUGAAAGGAAAUGAGAAAAAUAUGAGUUAAAAGCUAAUUAAAAAAUACAAGGGUGUAAAUUUAGAAUUUAGAGAAAAAUUCAAUAAUAGAUAACAAUUUGAAAAAUAGUAAAUUUAAAAAAAAAAAUUGAUUUAUAGAAAAAUCGGCUCAUGUAGAUAUUUUUUAAACUUUUAAGGCAAUUCUACUCGUUUAUAGAGAAAUUGAUUUUUGAUCGAUACACUAUAUUUGCGAAUCAAUCUAUUUUUUUAAAUUAUUAAAUAAAUAUUUAUUUUUGAGAUGGAUCAACAUCCACUAGAUUUAUAGAUUUAUAGGUUUCAAAUCAACUAUUUAAAAAUUUAUUUAUAUAAUACAUAAUAUAUAUAUAUAAUACUAAUAACUAUUUAAUUCAUAUUCUUUUUUCUAUCUAUAGAAUAAUUGAUAAUAUAAUUUAUUCAUUAUACAUUAAGAUCCGUUUAAUAAGGUUUGGUUAAUAUUUAAUAACGUUUUAUUAUAUCAUACAUAAUACACCAUUUUCAUAUUUAUAAUUCAAUGUUUAUAAAUAUUUAUUUUAUUGUUUGAACUUGAAGGUUUAGUUGAAAUAUCUCUAGAUUUUGAAUUUAUAAUUUUAUCUUUCCUCAAAAUCGUGCCAUUGAUAUAAUAACAACUUCAUAUUAAAAUUUUAUUUUUCCUGUAACUAUGCAUUUAACCAUUCUUUCAUAAAAUUGUUCAUUUAACAUACUAAUAAAUUGAAAUUAAAAUUUCUAUAAAAUAGUCCAUUUAACAAUUUUUCCAUAAAAUGGUUUUAUUUUAUCUUAUAAUUAUUAUGCAUUUAACAUGCAUAUUAUUCUUUUAAGAAAAUUUUUAUCAUCCAUAAACACCUUAUUCUUGAUUGAUCUUCUAAAUUAAUAGCAAACCUAAUUUCAAAAUUUUAGGAUAAUAUUGUUAAUAUCCUUUGUAUAUAUUCCAUAAAUUGUAUUUUAAAAUUUGAUUAGAAACCACCAAAAUACUAAAAUUUUGAUUGUAAAUGUCAAGAUCCCAUGAAAACCAUGGUAACAGUGUGAUUUUUAUCUAAAAAAAUUAUUUAAUUGUAUCAAUAAUUUUUGUGUGACGUUUUUAUUGUGAAUUACACUAAUAUUCGAUUUUAGUUUCACUACUAGGAAUAAUUUAGUGUUUGCACUUGAAUUUCUUUUACAACAAAUUUGACUUUAUUAUACACUUUUUCCAUCUUCAGAUCUUUCUGUGUGUCGGGUUACUCUUCAUUGGGACGGAUGUAACAAUGCAAAUCUUAUUCGGAUGGUUGAAGACAAUGACGUGUAUUGGCUUAUGUUGGUUAUAUGUUGGUUAUGUGAGAAUUUUCCAAUAAUGAUUUAGGUGUGAUUGUUGAUUUUGCACCUGCUGGUUGAAUAUUUAUAAAAUAAUAAACGUUUAAAACAUAAACAAAUAAGCGACACUUGCAAAAAUGACAAAAUAAGUUAUAAUAAUUAAGUUCAUAUCAUACACAUUUUAUUAUUUGCAAAAAUGGCAAAAACGAAACCCAACCCACACAUCAAGAAGUAAAAUGCCACAAUUGUCCUCGUUACUAAUAUACGUUUGAUACACCUAAUACACCAAUUGAUACACCCGAUAAAUUUGAUUGAUACACUUAAUGCACUUGAUACUCUUUGAUACAUUCAAUACCGAAACAUUACUAAUAUAUUUUUGAUACACCUGAUACACUGCAGAUACAUUUUGUAUUCUUCACUUUACAAUUGAUUGAUUAAAUGCACUUGAUAUGCUUGAAGUCUUAUUUAUACAUUUGAUAUACUAUUGACAUGCACUUGUAAACUUGAUUCAUACACUUGAUAAUGAUUCACUUUACUGAUAUUCUUUAACAAUAUAUUGUUAAUAUACUUGAUAAUGAUACAGUGAGUUACAUCAUUCAGAUACUUAAUAAUACUCUAAUGAACUGCAUAAAAUUUGAAAAAUAAAAAAUCACGUAGUAAGUAUGUUAACCAACUAAUAUAUAUAAUAUAAGUAUAUCACAACACUGAUAUACGAAACUGAAACAAAGUAAAAUAUAAAAAAUAAAACAAAAUCAUUUGGAAUUAGAUUUAACUCAAAAUACACAUUAAAGAAAGUAAAAAAAAAAAUCACAAAUAUAGUUAAAUUACUCCUAUCAACAACUAUUAUAUAAUAUUUCAUAUUGCAAUUAUUGUACUAUUGAUAUUUUAAAAUUAAGAUUAAGACAAAGAAUAAAUAAUUUUGAUAGUAUAAGAAUAAACAUAUAAUUAGGGCCUUAAAAAAUAUGAGCAUAAAUAAAUAAUGAAUAGGACAUUAAGAAGAAGAGAAAUAAGUUAUACGAAUGGUAGUUUAGGAAUAAUAUCAAAUUUAAGAUUGAGAAGUGAAAAUUUUGCUAUAUUUGCAAAAUUCUAAAGCAAUGUGCUAUAAUUGCUAUAUCAUAUUCUCAAAAUGAUAUUCUAUGCAAUUUUUCAACACAUAAUACAAACCAAUCCCUUUGUUUUCUCCUAAAAUGGAGGAGAUAAUUGUUCUACAUUUUAUUUUAUAAAAAAAUAACAAAUUUUUAUUCAAACUAUGCUUCUCUUUCGAACCUUCCAAAGUUACAGAGACCACAGCAAUGGCCAUAUUCGAAAUUUUUAUUCAAAAAAAAAAAAAAAGCAUCUUAAUGGUUUCAAAUGGUUUUCUCUAGUAUUUUGAAUGAAAAAAAGUGUCUGAAUGAAAGAGGAACAGAAGGAAGUAAGUUGGCGAAGUCCAAAUGAAAAAAAAAAAUAUAUUACUUGCAAAGAUUUUAAGAAGAUGAAAAAAAAAACGUUCGAAUGAAAUAGGAAGAGAUUUGGAAUGGUCAAAAGUGAGUUAUUGAGCCAAAAGUGAUCCGUAAGAAAAUGAAAGGUUUCAAAUGGUUUUGUUUAGGGUUAAUGAAAGAAGGAAGUAAUAUAUAUUUGUGGCGUGAGAUGGAGCUUUUUGUUAAUGACGAAUUUUCUAAUGUUGGGAUGUUUUUGAAGAAAUUUUUAUGUCAUACAUUAUUGCAAUUAUAAAUUAUUUUUUGCUAUUGAUGGACUAGAAUUUACUCAAUGAGAAGAUACUAAGCCCAGCCCAGUAAGCCCAAAAUACAAGCAGCCCAAAACAUAAGCCCAAAUUUCCAAAAACAGAUCAUUAUUAUCGCUAGAAAGUGGAGACCGGAAAGAAGAUCAACUUCGAUUGUGUGUGUUAGCUUUUCUUUUUCCUUUUUCUAUUUUGGCGGUUGGGGUGGGAGAGUUUUUUUCAACACUCGCAGCUGAGUUCAAACGUCAGAUUUGUCUUUUUGAAUUCAUAACCCAAGCCAAGGUAACAUUCUCUCUGUUCAUUUAAUUUGUGUCAUUCCUCGAUCCAACUUCAGAAAUUAUGCGUUUGUUUUGUUGGAGAACGAAAGGGGUUUAAAUGGGUGAAGAGAAAUGAACAUUGGUCGUCUUCAUCUUUUGUUUUGUGAUCAUUGCGUGCAAUCCCACGUUGCAAUGUUUCUGAAUCAGUAAGAAUUAGCUCCUCAAAUUGCUUUGCUUAAUUCUUUCUAAUUAUUGACACCGAUUGUAAUUAUGUUAAUUGAACAUGUUUCCGUCAAAAAAAAAAAAAUUAAGCCCUGUGUUUAGAUGUUGUAUCAUUUUUUUUCGUUUUGUGAGGAGGAAGGAAUGGGAUGUGCUAUACUGAAUGUGAUUCUUCUAUGAGGUUCUAAUCUAACUGAUCGCAUCACUUGUAGGUUUGAAAUUAUUUAUGAUGAUCUUAAUAGAAUGCGACGUCUUUCUUUCUUCAGGUAUGGUGAAGCAUGGAAACAAGUCAAAGGCAUGGUACAAACAGCAGAAAAUCUCGAUUCUUAUCGUGUCUGCUUUUCUUAUCCUUUUUGUAUUGAUGAUGUUAUUUCGCAAGGAGUCUCAAGAACAUGAUAUUUUAGUUGAGGCGACUCCAAAGCAGAAAUGGGAUAGCUUUAACUCUCUUGUGCAAUUUAAUCCAAAUAGAGAGUUUCGCAAUGGAACUGAUAUAAUAUCGCAAAUUCCUGAUUCUCCAAAGUCUGUUUUGUUCUUUGCUCAUGGCUGCAAUGGUAAAGCUGUCAACUUCUGGGACAGAUCUCCUGAAUGUCCUUCUUGUGUCGGUCUGCCUGAAGAACGGUUGAUUGUCCUUCAUGCUCUCAGCAAACAUUUUGCAGUUCUUACAAUAUCAAGCUCACAGAAAUGUUGGACAUUGGGGAAGGAAUUGGCAGUUGUUAAAGACAUCAUACGUUGGUGGGUUGAAAAGAACAAACUUGAGAAACUUCCUCUUGUGGGUUUAGGUGCCUCCUCUGGUGGGUAUUUUCUUUCGGUACUUGCCACUAAGUUCAAAUUUGAUAGCAUUACGUUGAUGAUUGCUGAAGGGUUGUAUGAACAAAUGGAGGUAACAGAGAGAUACCCACCUACUCUGUUUGUACACAUGCCUAAAGAUCAUUUUAGGCAACAAAAAAUCAAUGAAAAUAUGGAGUUUUUGAAAGGUAAAGGAAUUGAUGUUGCUGAGAUUGAAUGCUUAGAGUUUGCUCUGUCGCCACAUUUUUUGGCUGACCGAAUCCCAGGACUUGACAAGAGUGUUUCUGCAAAGUUGUUUGAGCUUUUCCAAGCCAAGGGCUUUGUAGAUGGAAAUGGAAAGAUGCUCAAAGAUGGACGCGCAACACGGUGGAAAGAAGCCCUGAAGGCCAGUGGGAUUAGUUUACCUGAUAAUAGUUUAACCAAUCACAUUCAAGAAGAGUUGAAUCUUGCCUUUGCAUACCACGAAAUGACUAGCUUAGAGGCUGACAAGAUCUUCACAUGGUUUGAAUCUCACUUUACUUGAGUUGAUUCUAUCAACAUUUAAAGAAAAUCCAGGUUCUUAGGACAAACACCUUUCCAAGCACACGCACUUGAAGAAAAUGUACAGAUAACAGAUUUUUCAUCCACAUUUUUUGUAAUGCUAGUGGCGAUGGUUUAGUAUCCAUUUCUUCACUGUUCAGUUAAGAAAGUUGAAGUAAUAACGUGAAUAAAUGAUAAAGUUCAACUCCCAUUUUGUUCUGGCUGGUGCUUGGUGGUCUACAAUUUAAUCUUCAAUGUGAAAUGUUGUUUGGUACUUUAUUUGAAAUACUGUCAUAUUGUUCUUCCAUCCAAGGAACAAUUGAAUCUCCAUUGGCGCAAGAAGAUUAUCAAACUAAAUUUAUGGCUAUGAACUACUGAACUUUUUGUUAAGGACAUAUGAGUUUAUGUUUCUAUUAUUACUUUUCCUGCUGUUUUUCAAGGUAAAAUAUCUUGGGUGGUUGGCUUAAUGGGAGUUCUUAACUACGCGGACCCACCUUCUCAGAGCACCGGACCAGACGUUUCCUAAUGGCUGUUGGCUUUUUUCAUCUAUAUGAGUUUGUUUACUGCACUUACUCUAUUAUGUCUCCCUUUUACACCGUUGAUAUUUCAGAUUUAGCAUUUAUACUGUUCACAAAAUCAAGCUCUGGUCUUUAAAUCCAACCCAAGGGCAUCCCAAGUUGUUUGUUCUUUUGUAGGUUAACCUUAUUGAAUGUAGUGCAUUUCCUCAUUAAUGCGCCAUAAAUACAAACUCUGCAUGGAUUUUACUAUCCUUUUAAAGCAUAGUGAUAGAAACAAUAGAUUAGUGUAGAUAACAAGCAUCUGAACUUUUAAUUUUCAACCCCCUUUUGGAUAAUAUGAUUAAAUAAAUUUAAGUACUUGAAACAAAUCUUGAUUUCACAAUGAAUUUGGAUAACAAAGACUGAGCAUCUCUAUGUUCAAAUACAUGAACAAAAGAGAUUGCAAGAAACUAGAAACAAAAACAAAAUAAAACAAAACACAUGCAAUGGUAAAUUGGUCUCACUGUCUCACUACUAACUGCUAAGGCACACUCAUUAGUUAUUAAGAUGGUAAAUGGUAGGAAAAAGGGGGGAAAUCAAGCUCUGGGUUUAAUUUUGCCCUCGUUGGCUAACUUGAACGUGUUGGCCUGAUUGCCUGCUGCUUUGUUGGAGCUGAGUGCCGAGACGAAACUUGUCCUAACUUGCUUAGUUGUGUAGGGGAAUCUGUUACUAGCAAGAGAGUUGAGGUACGAAGCAGUUCCUUCUCUCAAAAGAGCCCCAUACCCAUCAUUCCUUGUGUUAGAUAGUGCUUGGAGCAAGUUGAGAUUUGUUCCAAACCCUGGGACGUUGGUUGCUCCGAAGGCAUUUCCUAAUGUUCCCCACCAUCCCAAUACUCCCCAUAUCAAUCCUGGAUGAUUCAGCCAAUAACUGCAAACAAAGUAACAAACACAUUUUUAUAAACAAAUAUGUUCUCUUCUCCAUGGAAAACAGUUACUAAAAACCCUUGACUUACGUGCAGGUGAAUGGAAUAGUGGGAAUGGUAGGUGUGGUUGGUGUGCUAGGAACACUAGGAGUGCUUGGAGUGCUAGGAGUGCCUGGAUCUACAGGGGUGCUUGGUGGGCUACCACCAGAAGACGGAGGGUUGUAGUAUCCACCACCACCAGACGGCGGAUUUGAUGGUGUGGAAGGAGUUGGUGUGGAGUAAUGUGGCGUUCCUCCACUACCAUGUGAUGGUGGCAUAGGGCUGCUAUGUGAACCUGCAAUGCAAAGUAAACAUAUAAUGCUGUAAGCCUACUAAUCACUACCAUUACUACUAAUACUGGUACUGAAUGUGUGAGAUUCAUUGUGAAUGUGCAAUAACCUGAUGGAGGAGAUCCAGAAUGUGGGUCUGGAGGAGAGUAGUAGCUUUUCUGAUCAGCAAUGGAGGUGGACAAUACAGGGAUGAGUAGGCUUUGAGAAAGCAGCCCAGCAAGCAAAGUGAAAACGAGAGCAGAAACUUGUUUGCUUCUCAUGGUUGUGUUUCUUCGGUUGGUUGUUUUUCUGAUUGGGAGCAAAGGGAUUAGAGAUGGGAAAGAAGGGAAGGAAUGGUAAUGGUGAUGGAUGGAAUGUUUAGAACAAAUGGGGGAAUAUAUAGAAGGGGGGGAUGAGGGAAAGUGAAGUUACUUCUUACAGGUGGAAGAGUAUGUGGUUAGUUGCUGUUUUAUUGGUGCAUUUAUUCAUAUUGCUUGCUGCUUUUAAUUGUUUCAAAUAAUGUUCAAAUUUUCCAGGGAUGAAUUCAUUGGGGGGGGGAGGUGAAAUCACAUGCAUGCCUUUGAAAUUUUGAACCUCACAUUUCUCCUGAUAAAUUUAUUAGAUAUAGUCUCCAUAGUAUAGCUAUUAUGAUAUAUAAUUCAAAAUUGUAAUGCUACUCUGGGCCAUUUUGGUUCUGGUUCAUUUCUGUCUAUAUAUUUUCAGAAUGAUUAUUUUGGUCUUCAUUUUUCUAA
rnacentral:lncRNA from 1 species